UCGCAUCCCACCAGGCAAGGAAGCCCCGUCCGGUUGUGGACAGAUGUAUCCAAGGUAGUUGGGGGUCUAUCGUCUUCAGUACAAUAAAAUACGGACCCAGA